rnacentral:rRNA from 1 species
UACGAAGGGGGCUAGCGUUGCUCGGAAUCACUGGGCGUAAAGCGCACGUAGGCGGAUCUUUAAGUCAGGGGUGAAAUCCCGGAGCUCAACUCCGGAACUGCCUUUGAUACUGGAGAUCUUGAGUCCGGGAGAGGUGAGUGGAACUGCGAGUGUAGAGGUGAAAUUCGUAGAUAUUCGCAAGAACACCAGUGGCGAAGGCGGCUCACUGGCCCGAUACUGACGCUGAGGCACGAAAGCGUGGGGAGCAAACAGG